AUAUAGCUGCUCUGUUAGCCGCUCUGUCCCUCAAUGAGGGAGAGAGGGCAGGAUAUAAAACAAAAAGUAAUGGCUCCUCGGCUGUGGAACUCCCUCCCCAGUGACAUCCGGCAGGCUCCAUCCCUUCUGAGUUUCAGAAAAAAGGUGAAGACCUGGCUUUGCGAACAAGCGUUUAAUGAAUGAAUUAUUAUGGCUUUAACUCGGUCCGGACUAAGGUUUACGUGCAAGGUUUAUGUGGACGAAUGGAUUAAGUAUUUUAUUAUACUGUUUUAAAUGUAUUUAUUGGAUUGUUUUAAAUUGAUUGUUUUAAUUGCUAUGUUUAUUUACUGUAUACCAGCAUCGAAUUUGCCAGAUUGUGAGCCGCCCCGAGUCCCUUCGGGUGAGAAGGGCAGCAUAUAAAUGAUGGAAAUAAUAAAUAAAUAAAUAAAUAAAUAAUGCCCAGAAACACAACUACUUCAUCAACUGAGGCAUAGGGUUGUUGUGUGUUUUCUGGGCUGUAUAGCCAUGUUCCAGAAGUAUUCUCUCCUGAUGUUUUGCCCACAUCUAUGGCAGGCAUCCUCAGAGAUUGUGAGGUACAUGAGGUAACUGAGGUAUAUUUGCAUGGUUUCUUCGUCAGACAGUUGCCUGAAUUAUAUAAAACCUUCAUGGUUCCCACUGCAUGUUUAAGUCACAGGAUUCUGACUGAACUCAAGAGCUGAAGUUCCAUCUCUCUGAUGGAGUGUGCUUGAUCUCAGGAUGACAGAUGCUACAAGCCAGCUGCUUCCAGUUAAGCCCCCAUCAAAGUUCACCACUGUCCAAGGGCUACCAGAGGACAUUCUGCUGAGGCCUCAAGUUUCCAUCAGAGGGAAAAUGUAUUCUGUUGCUAUUAUUCUACAUAAAUUAAAGUGACUGUGUGUAUGAAGAUUA